ACAACUUCAUCCGUGCCCGAUCGGGGGAAGCCGGUGGAAAUCCGGCGCUGACCCGCAACCGUGAGGACGGCCCGGCCGCACACCGCGCACCGCCGCGGGGCGUUCGGCCGUCCGAGCCGGAGCACCCGUUGGGGCACGGCCAAGGCU
rnacentral:ncRNA from 1 species